rnacentral:rRNA from 1 species
UUUAUUGAGAGUUUGAUCCUGGCUCAGGACGAACGCUGGCGGCAUGCCUAACACAUGCAAGUCGAGCGAGUUGAUCUCUUCGGAGUGAAGCUAGCGGCGGACGGGUGA